GCUGCGCGCGAGGCGCCGGGUGAGUCACGUGCUGCGGAGGUUCCCGGGAAAAUGACAGUUCGCUUAGAAUUCGUUUAAAAAACGUCGUUGCAGUUGCCAGGCAACAACUUACAACUGCCGCCUAAGCGUUUUAUCUCAGAUUUGUUCUACGGUAUUCUAAAUCACUAUUAUUGCUCAUAUUUUAUUUGAUUUCUGUAAUUAGGAUGACGGAAUAGAGCGACAUCUAGUGGUCGAUUUUGUCAGGUAGACAUUUAUGGAUAACGAUUUAUUAAUUUUCUCUCAAGUCUCGACAUUACUAGGAUGAAAUAAAAAUACACUUCAGUUUGUUUCUUUUUAGCUAGUUGCCAAAGCAACAUUUCUAAUUUUAAUUUAGUUUUAGUACUAAAAUCACUACAACUAAAUAAACUAGACUAAAUCUAAAUACUAGAAAUUAAUAUAAAAUGUAAUAUAUACAUAUAAUAUAUAAUUAAAAAUAUAUAAAUGUUAUUUAUUUAGUUUAUAUAAUUUAAGAUGAAAAACGAAAAUAUAAUCUAAUUCAAAAUAUUAACAAAAACAAUUAACAAUAUUAACAAAUAACACUGGUUUUAAAAGUUGCUUUGUUUCAUAAUGUAUUGCUAAAAGUCAAUAUUAAAUAUAUUAGCGUAUACUGGACAUCUCUCACAUUUUUACAUUUAUAUUAUCUUAUAAAAACACUAAUAACUAUUUUUAUUAUUAUUAUAAUCUAAAUUCAUGUGUAGAUUUUAAAAUAUUUUAUUUUGGUUUUUAGUGUUUUAUUUUUAAUUUAUUUAGACAAAAUAGUACAGCUAUUGACCAACGUGUAUUAAAAUAAACACUUAAAUGUGUGUCUUGGAUAUUUUGUCAGAAUGUAAAAUUAGCCAGUGCAUAAACAACAACUUAUCUUAAUUUCAGUAAAGUGUGUUAUAGUGUGUCACAUUAAAGUCCUGUUUUCUGCAGUCAGCAGAGCAUUGUCUUCAGGUGUUCUGGUGUCUCUCUCUCCGAGCCGAGCGCUGUUUGAAGCAGAAGGGAGCUCCGUGAAAGUGGGUCACCUUCCGGAUCAGUCCAGACCCUGCUGUUUCUCCCGAGAGAUCACGUUAUCUGGACACACACAGAGAGCAUCAGUCAACACACAGGACCCCUGACCUUUAACCUGACACCCCAUCAGCUAUUGGCAGCAGAACGCCAGCCUAGUUACUAAAAGCUGCUCCGUCAUGUGUGGUGGUGCAAUCAUCUGAUCCCAGAUCAGCCUGAGAGAGAGAGAGAGCUGAGAACACACAUAGUAAAGGAAACACACAUGUAAAGGAAACAGUCUUUUUCUGAGAUUAACGUGUGCGCAGAGAAACCUGACAGAGCGACACAGGAGAGACAACCAGCUUUAAAAAAGAUCACAGCUGUAGAGGUACAGGAUCACACACACACACACGUUUCUAGAUACUUAAUGCCAAGUUUACACAAAAGCCGCGCAUGUGACGCUCAGAAUACAUCAGAAUAACUGCAGUAAUAUUUCCAGAUGAACUCUUACUGGACUGAAGCAGCUCAGCUUUACUUGAUUCUCCAUCAAUCAUGUUUUAGAGUCUCAAAUCUGAUCAUCAGGAUCUUUUGAGGAGCGUUUGUUUCCAGAAGCUUUACUUUCACUGUUCCUCAGCGGAGGAAUGAUCUUCACAAGCCUCCAGAACAUCUCACAUCUUCUGAGGAGCCUUUAUUUCUUCAUCUCUCAAUCACUGCAUUAUAUGUUUGGAUCAUUUACAUCUCACGUUUGUUUCCAGAAGCUUUACUUU
rnacentral:lncRNA from 1 species